rnacentral:rRNA from 1 species
AUGGUCGCCACGGCGAAGAUCCCGCAGCGGCAGCUCUUCAUCGACGGCGACUGGCGCGCGCCCGCGCUCGGCCGCCGCCUCCCCGUCAUCAACCCCACCACCGAGGCCUCCAUCGGCGAGAUCCCGGCGGGCACCUCGGAGGACGUGGACGCGGCGGUGGCGGCCGCGCGGGCGGCCCUCAAGAGGAACCGCGGCCGCGACUGGUCCCGCGCGCCCGGCGCCGUCCGGGCCAAGUACCUCCGCGCAAUCGCCGCCAAGAUGGUUGAGCGGAAAUCUGAUCUGGCUAGGCUAGAGGCACUUGAUUGCGGGAAGCCUCUUGAUGAAGCGGCAUGGGACAUGGACGAUGUUGCCGGCUGCUUUGAGUUCUUCGCGGGUCAUGCUGAAGCCUUGGACAAAAGGCAAAAUGCUGCAGUUGCUCUCCCGGAGAAUUUUAAAUGCCAUCUUAAGAAGGAACCUAUUGGUGUAGUUGCUCUAAUCACACCUUGGAACUAUCCUCUCCUGAUGGCUGUAUGGAAGGUAGCCCCUGCUCUGGCAGCUGGUUGUACAGCUGUACUGAAGCCAUCUGAAUUAGCUUCCCUGACUUGCUUAGAGCUUGGUGAUGUGUGUAAAGAGAUUGGUCUUCCAUCAGGUGUCUUAAACAUUGUGACUGGAUUAGGUCAUGAAGCUGGCGCUCCUUUGUCGUCACACCCUGAUGUCGACAAGGUUGCAUUUACCGGGAGCUAUGCAACCGGUCAAAAGAUUAUGGUUGCUGCAGCUCCUACAGUCAAGCCUGUUACAUUGGAACUUGGCGGCAAAAGUCCUAUUGUAGUAUUUGAUGAUGUCGACAUUGACAAAGCUGUUGAGUGGACUCUAUUUGGGUGCUUUUGGACCAACGGUCAGAUUUGCAGUGCGACAUCUCGUCUUCUUAUCCAUAAAAAUAUCGCUAAAGAAUUCGUCGACAGGAUGGUUGCAUGGUCCAAAAAUAUCAAGGUGUCAGACCCGCUCGAGGAAGGUUGCAGGCUUGGGCCAGUUGUUAGUGAAGGACAGUAUGAGAAGAUCAAGAAGUUUGUAGCGAAUGCUAAAAGUGAAGGUGCCACCAUUCUGACUGGGGGUGUCAGGCCCAAGCAUCUGGAGAAAGGUUUCUUCAUUGAACCCACAAUCAUCACUGACAUCAACACAUCAAUGGAGAUUUGGAGGGAGGAAGUCUUUGGUCCAGUCCUCUGUGUGAAGGAAUUUUCUACCGAAGAGGAAGCCAUCGAACUGGCCAAUGAUACUCAUUAUGGUCUGGCUGGUGCCGUGAUUUCUGGUGACCGUGAGCGAUGCCAGAGAUUAGCCGAGGAGAUUGACGCGGGAUGCAUUUGGGUGAACUGCUCGCAGCCUUGCUUCUGCCAAGCUCCGUGGGGCGGGAACAAGCGCAGCGGCUUUGGGCGCGAGCUCGGAGAAGGGGGCAUUGAUAACUACCUGAGCAUCAAGCAAGUCACGGAGUACACAUCUGAUGCGCCGUGGGGAUGGUACAAAGCUCCGGCUAACUAA